rfam:Thermoplasmatales archaeon Gpl AMDT5_GPLC00014, whole genome shotgun sequence.
UGUGACGGUCAUAGUGACGGGGUAACACCCGGUCUCAUUCCGAACCCGAUGGUAAAGCCCGUUACGUAUCACGUGCGUACUAUGUUCCGCGAGGGCAUGGAAAGCGUGGUUCGCUGUCACUU